rnacentral:rRNA from 1 species
AUACGGAGGGUGCGAGCGUUAAUCGGAAUUACUGGGCGUAAAGCGUACGUAGGCGGUUUGCUAAGUCAGAUGUGAAAGCCCCGGGCUUAACCUGGGAACUGCAUUUGAUACUGGCAGACUAGAGUAUGAUAGAGGGGGAUAGAAUUCCUGGUGUAGCGGUGAAAUGCGUAGAUAUCAGGAGGAAUACCAGUGGCGAAGGCGGCCCCCUGGAUCAAUACUGACGCUGAGGUACGAAAGCGUGGGGAGCGAACAGCAUUAGAAACCCUAGUAGUCC